CCUACGGGUGGCUGCAGUGGGGAAUAUUGGACAAUGGGGGGAACCCUGAUCGAGCCAUGCCGCGUGUGUGAAGAAGGCCCUCGGGUUGUAAAGCACUUUCAGUGAGGAAGAACGCCUGGUGGUUAAUACCCAUCAGGAAAGACAUCACUCACAGAAGAAGCACCGGCUAACUCCGUGCCAGCAGCCGCGGUAAUACGGAGGGUGCGAGCGUUAAUCGGAAUUACUGGGCGUAAAGCGCGCGUAGGUGGCUUGAUAAGCCGGUUGUGAAAGCCCCGGGCUCAACCUGGGAACGGCAUCCGGAACUGUCAAGCUAGAGUGCAGGAGAGGAAGGUAGAAUUCCCGGUGUAGCGGUGAAAUGCGUAGAGAUCGGGAGGAAUACCAGUGGCGAAGGCGGCCUUCUGGACUGAAACUGACACUGAGGUGCGAAAGCGUGGGUAGCAAACAGGAUUAGAUACCCUAGUAGUC
rnacentral:rRNA from 1 species